UAUCCAGCUCUCACCGCAGCCACCCAGUCUCCCACACUGGGAUACACGCUAACGGCUAGCGUGGUGAGCAGAAACGGAAUGUAAACAAGAAGUGCCGUCAGGGAGCAUGAGGGAGCAUACCGUACGGUGCAGCUAGCAGUUAAUGACAAGCAAAUUAUGACCUGUAUGCUGAACAUACAAAGGAGAAGCAAGAUGUAAGGAAACUGCUCAAGGAGUCAAACUUGUGAAAAACACACCA